UACGAAGGGGGCGAGCGUUGUUCGGAUUUACUGGGCGUAAAGGGCACGUAGCGGCGCCGGAAGUCGAGUGUGAAAGCCCCGGGCUCAACCUGGGAGGUGCGCUCGAGACUCUGGUGCUGGAGUUCGGGAGAGGAGCGGUGGAAUUCCCAGUGUAGAGGUGAAUGCGUAGAUAUCUGGAGGAACACCGGUGGCGAAGGCGGCAUCCUGGACCGGUAUUGACGCGUGACGGCGCGAAAGCCAGGGGAGCAAGCGGG
rnacentral:rRNA from 1 species